UACGUAGGGGGCAAGCGUUUGUCCGGAAUCAUUGGGCGUAAAGGGCGCGUAGGCGGCCCUUCAAGUGACGGGUGAAAGCCCUCGGCUUAAACCGAGGAACUGCCUGUCAGACUGGAAGGCUUGAGACCGGGAGAGGUGAGUGGAAUUCCCAGUGUAGCGGUGAAAUGCGUAGAUAUUGGGAGGAACACCAGUGGCGAAGGCGGCUCACUGGACCGGAACUGACGCUGAUGCGCGAAAGCGUGGGGAGCAAACAGG
rnacentral:rRNA from 1 species